rnacentral:rRNA from 1 species
UACGGAGGAUGCAAGCGUUAUCCGGAAUGAUUGGGCGUAAAGCGUCCGCAGGUGGCUGUGUAAGUCUGCUGUUAAAGAGUGAGGCUCAACCUCAUAAAGGCAGUGGAAACUACAUGGCUAGAGUGCGUUCGGGGCAGAGGGAAUUCCUGGUGUAGCGGUGAAAUGCGUAGAGAUCAGGAAGAACACCCGUGGCUAAGGCGGUUCUCUAGUACGGUACUGACGCUGAGACGCGAAAGCGUGGGGAGCGAACAGG